rnacentral:tRNA from 2 species
GGAGAGGUGUCCGAGUGGCUGAAGGAGCGGCACUGGAAAUGCCGUAUACGGGCAACCGUAUCGGGGGUUCGAAUCCCCCCCUCUCCG